GGAUUCGGUCGGCUGCGCUAUGGCAGCGAUCCCCCCAGACUCCUGGCAGCCGCCCAACAUAUACUUGGAGACCAGAAUGGGGAUCAUUGUGCUGGAGUUAUACUGGAAGCAUGCUCCGAAGACCUGUAAAAAUCUUGCUGAAUUGGUACGUCGAGGUUACUACAAUGGCACCAAAUUUCACAGGAUCAUCAAAGACUUCAUGAUCCAGGGAGGUGACCCAACAGGGACAGGUCGGGGUGGUGCAUCUAUCUAUGGCAAGCAGUUUGAGGAUGAAUUUCAUCCAGACCUGAGAUUCACGGGGGCUGGAAUUCUCACCAUGGCCAAUGCGGAGCCAGACACCAACGGCAGCCAGUUUUUCGCGACCCUAGCCCCCACCCAGUGGCUCGACGGCAAGCACACCAUUUUUGGCCAAGUGUGCCAGGGCAUAGGAAUGGUGAAUCGAGUAGGAAUGGUGGAAACAAACCCCCAGGACCGCCCUAUGGACGAUGUGAAGAUCAUUAAGGCGUACCCUUCUGGGUAGGCUUGCUGCUGCCCUGCGCUCACCCAGAUCUUCGGAGAUGGCCCCAGUGAACCAGCUUCCAGAUCUAGAAGGACACGUACUUAAACUCCAUUUUGGCCUUGCAAGUCACAGAGCUCAGGAGACCUGGGGGAUUGGGUGAGUAAGAGAUGGAAGUAUAUUUUAAGAGGAUGCUUCUUUUCUCUUCCCCCGGUGCCUAGGUUGACAGAGCAUUUGCAGAAAUGCUCAUAAAUGAUCAUUCACGGGGAACCGCUCAUUGCAAGUGAGCAUACUGCCCCUCCUGGCGUGUGUCUGUGCUGAUACACUUGGAACAAAAUGAAGCCGACUCUGUCAUUCCAUAGUGCCUGACCAAACUUCUUCCUGCAGAGAUUUAUAU